AAUUUUUCAGCCCUUUUCCAGAAUUUGAACUAAUUUGAUCAUAAAGAUUGAUCUAUUUAUAAUUUAUCGAUUACAAUUUUUAGACAAUUAAAGCUGGUUAAAGGAACUUUUAUUUUGGAAAAAGAACUGCUGCUGUUUCAAGACAUGCGCACUAGCUGCGACAUCUAGUGACGACAUUUACCGGGCUUUAACGGUUGUUGCUGCAUGAAGUCUGCUGCAAUUUCUCUGAGAUUUCUCAAGAUCAUCAGUUUGGACAGAAUUCAUUUGAAGAAUUAAUAGCACUAGCAGGUUCCAAUAAAGGCUGGAACAGAACAGACAGAAAAGAAUCUGUCAGAAGAAAUUCAACUACUGUUCGUGCACCAGAUGGUGAAGUAGAAAAGUUCGUAAAAACUUCUGCAGCUUGCAUCUGACAGAGAUGCAAAAAGAAUAAGAGAGCGGGCCUGAAAACAAGCAAAUUCAAGGGUACACUUGAGGAGUGUCCAGAUGUUUAUUAAUGUUUUAUUAAUGUAAUGUUAUGUUUCAAAUAAACAUGUAAACAUACUGUAUAUUUUUCUUUUUUUUAAAACACCUACAGUAAAGUGUGAC